AUUGAACGCUGGCGGCAGGCCUAACACAUGCAUGUCGAGCGAGCGGCGGACGGGUGAGUAAUGUAUGGGAAACUGCCUGAUGGAGGGGGUUAACUACUGGAAACGGUAGCUAAUACCGAAUACCAUAAGAUGUGCCCAGAUGGGAUUAGCUAGUAGGUGGGGUAACGGCUCACCAAGGCGACGAUCCCUAGCUGGUCUGGGUGGAGGACCGGCCACACUGGAACGUAUACCCGGUCCAGUCUCGUACGGCAGGCAGCAGUGGGGAAUAUUGCACAAUGGGCGAAAGCCUGAUGCAGCCAUGCCGCGGGUGUUAAGAAGGCCUUCGGGUUGUAAAGCACUUUCAGCGGGGAGGCGUUACCCGCAGAAGAAGCACCGGCUUACUCCGUGCCAGGCACCGCGGUAAUAC
rnacentral:rRNA from 1 species